GUCUCUUUGGGAACAUUCUUUAUUAGAAUAAUACAGAGAAAAUUAGCAUGAUUCCUGCACAAGGAUGACAUGUACACAACGAGAAAUGGCCCACUUUUUU